AGCCUGUGACCAGUUCAAGCAAUUUUAUUCCAGAAGGUGGAUGAAAAUACUGACAUUAAAGGAAAUUAAAUAAGUGAAAUAAGAAAAAUUGAGAUGCCAAGGGAAUAGAUAUGCUAAUUCUGUGCUUUGAGGAAUGUACUGGGUAAGGCCCAUUACUUCACUGAUUUCAAUGGAUACCAGGCCCAGGGGAAUUCUGGAGUGCAUAACCAUAAGAAGAAAAAUAUGAAAAAAUGCUAAACAUGUAUGUAUUUCACCACAUAAAUCCAAUUCAGAAUGAAACAGAUUUUUAGGUAAUUAUUUAGAUUUUGAAUGUUA